GAUGAACGCUAGCGGCAGGCCUAAUACAUGCAAGUCGAACGGUGUCUUCGGACAUAGUGGCGCACGGGUGCGUAACACGUAUGCAACCUACCUUACAUUGGGGGAUAGCCUUUCGAAAGGGAGAUUAAUACCGCAUAAGACAGUAGCUGGGCAUCCAGCAGCUGUUAAAGAUUUAUCGAUGUAAGCUGGGCAUGCGUCCAAUUAGCUAGUUGGUGAGGUAACGGCUCACCAAGGCAAUGAUUGGUAGGGGAACUGAGAGGUCAAUCCCCCACACUGGCACUGAGAUACGGGCCAGACUCCUACGGGAGGCAGCAGUAGGGAAUAUUGGGCAAUGGACGCAAGUCUGACCCAGCCAUGCCGCGGGCAGGAUGAAGGCGUUAUGCGUUGCAAACUGCUUUCAUACAGGAAGAAACGACUCUUGCGAGAGGCAUUGACGGUACUGUAUGAAUAAGCACCGGCUAACUCCGUGCCAGCCGCCGCCGUAACAC
rnacentral:rRNA from 1 species